rnacentral:tRNA from 1 species
GCCGCGGUGGCGCAGGGGUCUAGCGGCGCCUUGGUAAGGCGUAGGUCGUGGGUUCACUUCCCAUCAGCGGCGCCA